CUCUUUAAUUCAGUUGAUUAGAGAACUGCACCGGAAUCGCAGGGCCGCAGGUUCGAUUCCUGCUAUAGAGG